AUUGAACGCUGGCGGCAUGCCUUACACAUGCAAGUCGAACGGCAGCAUGGAAGAGCUUGCUCUUCUGAUGGCGAGUGGCGAACGGGUGAGUAAAGCAUCGGGACGUACCGUGUAGUGGGGGAUAACGUAGCGAAAGUUACGCUAAUACCGCAUACGCACUGAGGUGGAAAGCAGGGGAUCGCAAGACCUUGCGCUAUACGAGCGGCCGAUGUCAGAUUAGCUAGUUGGUAGGGUAAAGGCCUACCAAGGCGACGAUCUGUAGCGGGUCUGAGAGGAUGAUCCGCCACACUGGGACUGAGACACGGCCCAGACUCCUACGGGAGGCAGCAGUGGGGAAUUUUGGACAAUGGGCGCAAGCCUGAUCCAGCCAUGCCGCGUGAGUGAAGAAGGCCUCGGUUGUAAG
rnacentral:rRNA from 1 species